ACAGGUCGGCGCCCUACCAGGAGUUGAUGGUGGUCUAGGAGAUACCUCUGUUACCAUUCUAGACCUCUUAUCUUGUGAACUAAACCUUGGAAUCUAUCUUCUCGGAGGUACUAGGGGUUUAGAACUGCCUGCUUCGGAGGAUAAACCCCUAAGUCUACUUUGUACUAUUUCUGCUUUCGCCAAAACCUCAUCAUUGGUCCUCAAUUCUAGAACUGCAAGAGCAUCCUGAAUCUUUGGGCGUAGCCCCCACUGAAAUUUUCUCACCUUUUAUCCUUCAUUAGUCAAAAUGGCUGAAGUAAAAUGGGUCAACUCAGUGAAUCUUCAAGCAUAUUCAACCACUGACAAGUUCCCCUAAGUGAGCUGCAUGAACUUUAACUUUUUUUGAUGUCGGAGUCGUGCUGGAAAGUACUCGACAUUGAACGCCCCCAGCAAUCUCUCCCAAGUGAUGAGAACAGGUAAGGUGGUCUGUCUGAAUUCCCACUAAUGGUCAGCUUCACCCAAGAGCAGAUAUGUAGCCAGAAUCACUUUCUGUUCAGAAGUCACCCCCAAAACUCAGAAUGUCUUUUUAAUUUU
rnacentral:lncRNA from 1 species